AUUGAACGCUGGCGGCAUGCCUUACACAUGCAAGUCGAACGGCAGCACGGGAGCAAUCCUGGUGGCGAGUGGCGAACGGGUGAGUAAUAUAUCGGAACGUGCCCAGUCGUGGGGGAUAACGCAGCGAAAGCUGUGCUAAUACCGCAUACGAUCUAAGGAUGAAAGCGGGGGAUCGCAAGACCUCGCGCGAUUGGAGCGGCCGAUAUCAGAUUAGCUAGUUGGUGGGGUAAAGGCCCACCAAAGCGACGAUCUGUAGCUGGUCUGAGAGGACGACCAGCAACACUGGAACUGAGACACGGUCCAGACUCCUACGGGAGGCAGCAGUGGGGAAUUUUGGACAAUGGGCGCAAGCCUGAUCCAGCAAUGCCGCGUGCAGGAUGAAGGCCUUCGGGUUGUAAACUGCUUUUGUACGGAACGAAACGGCCCUUUCUAAUACAGGGGGCUAAUGACGGUACCGUAAGAAUAAGCACCGGCUAACUACGUGCCAGCAGCCGCCGCCG
rnacentral:rRNA from 1 species